GAUCCUGAGAGCAUCGAACACACAUCUUGUAAAACCUACGCUAGAACAUGGAACUGAAAUGAGUGGAUCAGUUCUGUGCAUGCUUUUCAAGGACAGAGUCAUUUACAUAUGACCUUUUGUUAACCUGUCUCAGCUCGAUCAGAACUCAACAUCUCCAUCAUCACCAGCCCAGACACCAGCUGUAGCACCAUCUCAUUUGCAGCCAUCAUCACUAGCCCAGACAACAACUGUAGCACUACAUCAUGUCCAGGAAUCAUCACCAUCCCAGUUAUCAAAUGUAGCACUACAUAAUGUCCAGUUAUCAUCACCAGCCCAAACACCAACUGUAGCACUACAUAAUGUCCAUCAAUCAUCACCAGCCCAAACACCAACUGUAGCACUACAUAAUGUCCAUCAAUCAUCACCAGCCCAAACACCAACUGUAGCACUACAUAAUGUCUAUCAAUCAUCACUAGCCCAGACAACAACUGUAGCACUACAUCAUGUCCAGGAAUCAUCACCAUCCCAGUUACCAAAUGUAGCACUACAUAAUGUCCAUCAAUCAUCACCAGCCCAAACACCAACUGUAGCACUACAUAAUGUCCAUCAAUCAUCACCAGCCCAAACACCAACUGUAGCACUACAUAAUGUCCAUCAAUCAUCACCAGCCCAGACACCAACUGUAGCACUACAUAAUGUCCAUCAAUCAUCACCAGCCCAGACACCAGCUAUAGUACCAACACAUUUCCAGCCAUCAUCGCCACCCCGCAUACCUGCUAUGGACAAUGAUGGCCCUCUGUUACAUGUUGAAUUGAUCAAUGCAGGAACUCCUGAUGUCUAUUACAGGAUAAUCCAACCAGCUAGUGAUGAACACUUGGACACAGAUGUUCUGAUAGG